UAACGAACGGGGUUAAUAUCGUCACCGGUCAUCAUCAUAAUGUCGACGGCGAUAUGAAAUUAUUUUAUUUAUCCGUUGUAAACAACUGAAACGUAAUCCUGUUACUACAGAAAGUGCGAGAACAUGUCACUUAAGUUCGAUUGAUAGCAAAUAAACCCUCUUGAUUCUGUCACCGAAUAAGAAAACGAGUCACUCCGGGAGGUUAUCUAUCAUCGUAGUGUUUUAUUCGCGUAUUUUGUUUGGACAAGCUGUCGCAAUAUUCCUAAAAGGCUUAAUAAUAAUCGAUGUGCAUGCAGUACAUCAACGCAAUUGCAUAUGACCGAGCUGUGGCAUUUACUCGUCUAAGUGAGAAAAAUUACUACCCACGAUGAUAAAAUGAACAAUAAUGAUAAAAUAUUAUAGCAAUAAGCUCAAUCGUAAAGACGGAAUUGUACA